rnacentral:rRNA from 1 species
AGAGUUUGAUCCUGGCUCAGAGCGAACGUUAGCGGCAGGCUUAACACAUGCAAGUCGAGCGAGAAAGGGGCUUCGGCUCCGAGUAAAGCGGCGGACGGGUGCGUAACACGUGGAUAAUCUGCCUCGUGGCGGGGGACAACAGUCCGAAAGGACUGCUAAUACCGCAUGUCAGGUCGGAAACUCCGGUUUCUGACGAAAAAAGAGGGCGCCCGCAAGGGGCUCUCACCACGAGAUGAGUCCGCGUCCCAUCAGCUAGUUGGCGGUGUAAUAGACCACCAAGGCUUAGACGGGUAGCUGGUCUGAGAGGAUGACCAGCCACACUGGGACUGAGACACGGCCCAGACUCCUACGGGAGGCAGCAGUGGGGAAUAUUGGACAAUGGGCGAAAGCCUGAUCCAGCCAUGCCGCGUGAGUGAUG